AUGGUAGUGAAAAUGGUGCAAUACAGCAAUAGUGAAUCUGAUAUAACCGUGGAUGCUGGGGAAGCACAUGAUAUAGACAUAGAAAUUACAAGCGAUAAUCUGGAAGGUACUAAUACUCUUCCCAGUGGUCAAAGCACUGAACAAGGUGAAAUGCAUGACAGCAGGACAGAACUUCUUUCAGAUUUUAAACUGGAGACUAGUCCCCUUAAGGCACAGUUUCCUACUUGCAAUGUUUUCUCUAGAAAGGAGAUGGCCAAAUUUCUUUAG
rnacentral:rRNA from 1 species